rnacentral:lncRNA from 1 species
UGAUAAAAGCAAGAGAGGAAAAGUUAUUUGACUUGAUAAGUUCAAGUGCUCCAUCAUCAUCUUCUUCAGAUUUGAUGCCACGUCAAAUGAACAUUGCAUAUAGUAAGUGGCAUAACAACAGGCAUUCUGGUAAACACCUUUAUUCUUUGAGGAUAACUGGACACAAGUUUGGUGACAAUAGUCUUAAUGAUAUAUGUCACCUAAGACACUUGAGGCUUCUUAGAGUGUUGCAACUGGAUGACUCUUCAAUUCUGUUGAGUGAUUCUUUGUUGAAUGAAAUAUGCAGACUGGUUCAUUUGAGAUACUUAGAGAUUCGCACAGAAGUUAAAUCUCUGCCUUCGUCGUUUUCAAAUCUCUUGAAUCUGGAAACUCUGUGGGUGAAUAAAUAUGGACCACCCAUGGUAUUAUUACCAACAAUUUGGAAUCUUAUAAAGUUGCGAGUGCUGGCUAUAUAUAAAUGUUUCUUCUUUGUUUUGUAUAAGAAUGAGUCAAUACUGGUUGCAGAGAACUCAAAGUCAGAGAGCUUGAGAUUAUUACGGGGACUCGAAGUUUCCUAUUCAAAAGACACGGAGGAUAUUUUCAAAAGGUUUCCCAAUCUUCACAAGCUUCGAUUUGAUCUCAAGGAAUCAUGGGAUUGUUCAACAGGGCGAUAUCGGUUCCCGAAAUUGGACUUCUUAAAUGAACUAGAAUCUCUCGAAGUAACUUUUAUAAGUUCAAAUUCAAAUGAUAGUGCGCUCUCUAUAGCGACAAAUCGGCUUUGGGAUUUUCAUUUCCCUUCGAGUGUAAAAAUGUUGUGUUUGCGUGAGUUUCCUCUGACAUCCGAUUCACUAUCAACAAUUGGAAUACUGUCCAACCUUGAAGAGCUGUACCUUAAAGACACAAUCAUCGAGGGGGAAGAAUGGAACAUGGGGGAGGAAGACACCUUCCAGAAUCUCAAAUGUUUGACAUUGCAGCGAGUGAAUCUUGCUAAGUGGGAGGUUAGAGAGGAAUCCUUUCCUGUGCUUGAGAAAUUACGACAGCGGGAUUGUCGUUAGCUUGAGGAGAUUCAGCCAAGUUUCGGGGAUAUUUGUUCAUUAAAAAGUAUCGAACUGAAGUGGAGCCCUCAACUUGUAGAAUCUGCUCUGAAGAUUAAGCAAGAUGUUGAAGAUAUGAUGGGGGAUAUUCAGGUCCUUGUUUAUAACUGAUCAAGUUUUGAGCAUUUUUACCUUGGGAAAAUAGGUGAGUACAGACGAAUUUAUUACCUCCUCAUUUUCAGUAUAAGUGGCAGAGUUUGACCAGUGUAAUUUUCUUUUGCAGAGUUUGACGAGUUGUUUGCAUAUCAUAUGUUACUGCUCAAGUCCAAAAACAUAUGAUGGAAUAAUUCUUUAGGAAGUUGAUUUGGAGGAUUGCAAGAAGUGAAACAAAAGGUGGGCAACCUCUGUACUAUAUGAAAGUUAUCUUAUAUCUCAGAUUUUUCAAGUUUUUAUAUAUCUUUCAACAAAUACCUUCACAAUCAGCUCAUCGGCGCAUAGAGUUUUAGUUGUGAUGCAGGCUGGUGGAAUUUGGACAAGAGGGGUUGCUCUGAUGGUAAGAAACCCCCACUUCCAACCGAGAGGUUGUGAGUUCGAGUCUCCGAAAGAGCAAGGUGGGAAGUUUCUUGGAGGGAAAGAUGCUGGGGGUCUAUUUGGAAACAGCCUCUCUACCCCAGGGUAGAGGUAAGGUCUGAGUACAUACUACCCUCCCCAGACCCCACUAUGUGGGAUUAUACUAGGUCAAAAUAAUUUGAAUUCCUUUAUUUUCCGAAAAGAAGAGGACAUGAUGAGGGUUAUAGCAUUAAGUUAUUACAAUUUACGUGAUCCCUUGAAGUCGUGCUUGAUUCACCUUGCAAGUAUUCCGAAGGACGAAGUAAUUCCAAUCCGUAAUUUGGAAAUUUUAUGGCCUGCUGAAGGAUUUUUGGAGCAGAGAGAGAAGAAGAGUGUGGAAGAAGUGGUUGCGAUUUAUCUGGAUAAUUUAAUUUCCAGUAGCUUGGUAAUUUCUUUCGAUAAAAUAGGUGACGAUCAGACUUGCCAAAUUCAUGAUCUUGUGCAUGAGUUUUGUUUGAUAAAAGCAAGAGAGGAAAAGUUAUUUGACUUGAUAAGUUCAAGUGCUCCAUCAUCAUCUUCUUCAGAUUUGAUGCCACGUCAAAUGAACAUUGCAUAUAGUAAGUGGCAUAACAACAGGCAUUCUGGUAAACACCUUUAUUCUUUGAGGAUAACUGGACACAAGUUUGGUGACAAUAGUCUUAAUGAUAUAUGUCACCUAAGACACUUGAGGCUUCUUAGAGUGUUGCAACUGGAUGACUCUUCAAUUCUGUUGAGUGAUUCUUUGUUGAAUGAAAUAUGCAGACUGGUUCAUUUGAGAUACUUAGAGAUUCGCACAGAAGUUAAAUCUCUGCCUUC